GUCUACUUUCCGGCAUCACCCCCUUCAAAGAUACGCCUGCACCUCCUCACUUCUCAACCCUAGCCACCUUUGCUGGCACCGGCUAACUUGGGACUCAUAACCUGUAAUUUUCUUUUCUUACUUGUUCUCGAAGGCGAAGUCACCUCGUUAAGUACCGAAGCCGUGAUUAUGGCGGACUGGGCAGUGACGCGUAAGCUAUGGGAGAAAUGGAUCGCGAAUAAUCUUGGUACAUCUGCUUUUCCGGUCAUUGGCGCAGGAGAACCACUGAAAGCUGCGUUGCUGAUAAACUACGACCCAGCUGCUCCAUCAAGGCUCACAUCUUGCAUAGCAGAACAAGAAGGGACAAAUUUCAAGUCUGUCGAGCUACGAUCAUUCCUAAAAUUUAUCAAACAGAACAAUCUCCAAAAUGAGUUCUUCUUUAUUGGAUCAAGCCAAUAUUUAGUCACAUCAAUACAUGAGCACUGGUUCUGUGCUAGGUGUAUAAAUACAUCUAGACCUGCAGGUGAAGGUGUUAUUGUUAUGCAGAUUGCAGCUUAUCUUUUAGUUGCAAUGUACGAGGGUUCUAUAGGUUCAGCAACUCGAGCAAUGGUUGCUGUAGAACAAUUUGUGUGGCAGUUGAGCCGUAGAAUUCACUGAAAGAUUCAAAUUUCUUUUGUCUUGUCCUUAAUUAUAGUCAACAUUUGGGUUGUCUUCACAUCUUCAAAUUUUAUCAGCCUACGGAAUGAGGGAGAAAGGUCGAGUCUGAUCUAUGGCUACUGCACUACAAAAAAUGUUUGUGAAGAAAUCUCUCCUUUUAAAAUUGGGAGAUUGAUCAACAUUCAAUGAAGAAGAAGAUAGAGAUGUCUCAACAUGUGAUAUGGUAUCUGUUUAAGUUGGGGAAAUUAUUGGGUUCGGACACCGGACGAUGUCCGAAGCCCAAUGAAAAUGCGCCACAUCACCCCCUACUCGGUACUGCUCCGUACCAAGCUCAAUAUUGCUCGGUACUGUGAAAUACAGAACAUAAGAUGUGUUUGGUGUUCGAACCCAAUAAUCUCUCGUUAAGUUGAGGGAGAUUCUUCAGGAUUAUUGGUAAUUGGUUCUAGAUGUCAAUGUUUCGUUGGCUAAUUUCCUACAAAUAAGGUUGUCUUGCGUAAGCGUGAGACAAUAGAAGCAUAAGCUACAUUUUUUUUAAUCACAUAUCACAUUAUGCCAAUAAAUUCAACUUUAGAGCUAA